rnacentral:lncRNA from 10 species
CUGUCCCUCUCCCCAGGGCACGGAAAUGCUCUCUGCCUCACUCUACUGCUGCCAGGGGAUUGGGGAAGGGUGGCAUCAGUGAUUUAAGACUGAUUUUUUCUGUUUUUUUUUCUGUUCUUCUCUUAAAGAUAUGGAAUUCAAACCAGUAACUUGUCUGGACUAUUGCGGAGUCUCUUUCCUGCAUCUGCGCAGCUCCUGAUGUCUCAGAUUCACGGAAUUGACUACAUCAUAAUCAUUUGUUCCUGAUACACCGUUAUUUUUCUGUGACAAGCUUGAGGACAAAAAGUAUGUGAGGAACAUGACAGAAUCAUGGAAAUAAUACGGGUUCCUAAUGACAUGAUUGAACUGCCAAACUAACCCUGGAAUCACCAACCCUCAGACCUCUUGGUGAGAAAAUUAAAUGCUUCCCAUGUAUACGCUUUCUUAAAUUCGGUGUUUUGUUCAUUGUAGCCCCUCAAAUAUAAAUUUACAAAUCCUGCUCUUGGCACAUGUAAGUAUUAG